CCUACGGGAGGCAGCAGUGAGGAAUAUUGGUCAAUGGGCGCAAGCCUGAACCAGCCAAGCCGCGUGAAGGAUGACGGCUCUACGGGUUGUAACCUUCUUUUUUAAGGGAGUAAAAUGAGACACUAGUGCCGGUUUGAAUGUAUGCUACGUAUAAGGAUCGGCUAACUCCGUGCCAGCAGCCGCGGUAAUACGGCGGAUCCGAGCGUUAUCCGGAUUUAUUGGGUUUAAAGGGAGCGUAGGCGGGUUGAUAAGUCAGUUGUGAAAGUUCGGGGCUCAACCCUGAAAUUGCAUUUGAUACUGGUGUUCUUGAGUACAGUUGAGGUAGGCGGAAUUCGGGGUGUAGCGGUGAAAUGCUUAGAUAUAACGAAGAACACCGAUUGCGAAGGCAGCUUACUAAACUGUAACUGACGUUGAGGCUCGAAAGCGUGGGUAGCAAACAGGAUUAGAUACCCGAGUAGUC
rnacentral:rRNA from 1 species